rfam:Dethiobacter alkaliphilus AHT 1 ctg20, whole genome shotgun sequence.
UGAUUCUGCGGGUUUCCGAAAUGGGGCAAACCCACUGUGAGUCAUGUGGCAGUAACUCAUACUGAAUAAAAUAGGGUAUGAGGGCGUCAUACCCGGGGAACUGAAACAUCUUUAGUACCCGGAGGAAAGUAAAGCAACCGCGAUUUCCCAAGUAGCGGCGAGCGAACGGGAAACAGCCUAAACCUUUAUCUGUGUGAUAGCCUGCCGGCGUUGCAGAUAGGGGGUCGCGGGGCACAUCAUGGUCUUCGGCAGAAGACCGCAGUGGAAAGUCAUCUUAUUAGUCGAACGGUCUGGAAAGUCCGGUCAUAGAAGGUAAUAACCCGUAGACGAAAAUAAGUUGACAGCUGUGAUGUGUACCCAAGUAGCACGGGACACGUGAGACCCCGUGUGAAUCAGGGAGGCCCACCUCCUAAGGCUAAAUACCAACUGGCAACCGAUAGUGAACCAGUACCGUGAGGGAAAGGUGAAAAGCACCCCGGGAGGGGAGUGAAAUAGAACCUGAAACCGUAUGCUUACAAGCAGUGGCAGCACUAUGUCUUCGGAUAUGUGUGGCCGCGUACUUUUUGUAGAACGGGCCAACGAGUUACGUUCUGUAGCAAGGUUAAGUGGUUCUGCCACGAAGCCGCAGCGAAAGCGAGUCUGAAUAGGGCGAAUGAGUUGCAGGGCGUAGACCCGAAACCGAGUGAUCUACCCAUGGCCAGUGUGAAGCUUGUUUAAACGCAAGUGGAGGCGCGAACCCACCAAUGUUGAAAAAUUGGGGGAUGAGCUGUGGGUAGCGGUGAAAUGCUAAUCGAACUCGGAUAUAGCUGGUUCUCCCCGAAAUAGCUUUAGGGCUAGCGUCGGAUGAUGUGUCGUGGAGGUAGAGCACUGUUUGGGCUAGGGGCCUUACCAGGUUACCGAACUCAGAUAAACUCCGAAUGCCAUAGACAUUAAUCCGGCAGUCAGACUAUGGGAGAUAAGUUUCAUAGUCAAGAGGGAAACAGCCCAGACCGUCAGCUAAGGUCCCCAAGUACAGACUAAGUGGAAAAGGAUGUGGAAUUGCUUAGACAACCAGGAUGUUGGCUUAGAAGCAGCCACCAUUUAAAGAGUGCGUAAUAGCUCACUGGUCAAGUGAUUCUGCGCCGAAAAUGUAACGGGGCUAAGUCUGUCACCGAAGCUACGGCUUGUCGUAAGACAGGGGUAGGGGAGCGUUCUAAGCUGCGUCGAAGCCAUACCGUAAGGAGUGGUGGAGCGCUUAGAAGAGCGAAUGUUGGCAUGAGUAGCGAGAAGGCAAGUGAGAAUCUUGCCCGCCGAAAACCUAAGGUUUCCUGAGGAAGGCUCGUCCUCUCAGGGUUAGUCGGGACCUAAGCCGAGGCAGAAAUGCGUAGGCGAUGGACAACAGGUUGAUAUUCCUGUACCACCUGCAGCCGCUAUUAGCAAUGGGGUGACGCAGAAGGGUAGGCACAGCGCACCGUUGGUUGUGUGCGUUCAAGCGUUUAGGGAGUGCGGAUAGGCAAAUCCGUCUGCACAUUAUCCUGAGGCGUGAUGAGGAGCGAAAUUUUAGUAGCGAACUGGCUGAUCCCAUGCUGCCAAGAAAAGCCUCUAGCGAGGAUGUCAGGUGCCCGUACCGUAAACCGACACAGGUAGGUGAGGAGAGAAUCCUAAGGCGCGCGGAAGAACCUUCGUUAAGGAACUCGGCAAAUUGACCCCGUAACUUCGGGAGAAGGGGUGCCCCGUUAUCGUGAAGCAUUUAUGUUUUGCGAGAGGGGGCCGCAGAGAAUAGGCCCAAGCGACUGUUUAGCAAAAACACAGGUCUCUGCGAAGUCGUAAGACGACGUAUAGGGGCUGACGCCUGCCCGGUGCUGGAAGGUUAAGAGGAGAGGUUAGCGCAAGCGAAGCUUUGAAUCUAAGCCCCAGUAAACGGCGGCCGUAACUAUAACGGUCCUAAGGUAGCGAAAUUCCUUGUCGGGUAAGUUCCGACCCGCACGAAAGGCGUAACGACUUGGGCGCUGUCUCAACGAAGGAUCCGGUGAAAUUGUAGUACCUGUGAAGAUGCAGGUUACCCAUGACAAGACGGAAAGACCCCGUGGAGCUUUACUGUAGCCUGAUAUUGGAUUUUGAUAUGGAAUGUACAGGAUAGUGGGAGACUUGGAAGCCUGGGCGCUAGCCUGGGUGGAGUCACCCGUGGGAUACCACCCUUUUCAUAGCGGAAUUCUAACCGGCGAGCCGUUAUCCGGUUUCUGGGACAGUGUCAGUGGGCAGUUUGACUGGGGCGGGUCGCCUCCUCAAAGAAGGUAACGGGA